rnacentral:rRNA from 1 species
UACGGAGGAUGCAAGCGUUAUCCGGAUUUAUUGGGUUUAAAGGUGCGCAGGUUGUUUGAUAAGUCAGUGGUGAAAGUCUGUCGCUUAACGGUAGGAUUGCCAUUGAUACUGUUAGACUUGAAUAUGGAUGAGGUAGGCGGAAUGUGUAGUGUAGCGGUGAAAUGUAUAGAUAUUACACAGAACACCGAUUGCGAAGGCAGCUUACUAAUCCAUCAUUGACGCUGAGGCACGAAAGCGUGGGGAGUCAAACAGGA